UGCCCUGCCACUUGGCAAAAUAUAAAAAUUAUUUGAACUGUUUUGGUAAAUCCUGCAAAGGAAGUUGAAGAAUCAGUUUGAAGUGCAUACAA
rnacentral:sRNA from 12 species